UACGAAGGGGGCUAGCGUUGUUCGGAAUUACUGGGCGUAAAGCGCGCGCAGGCGGUCUUCCAAGUCAGUGGUGAAAGCCUGGAGCUCAACUCCAGAACUGCCAUUGAAACUGUUAGACUUGAGUACGAGAGAGGUGAGUGGAAUUCCCAGUGUAGAGGUGAAAUUCGUAGAUAUUCGGAAGAACACCAGUGGCGAAGGCGGCUCACUGGACUGGUAUUGACGCUGAGGUGCGAAAGCGUGGGGAGCAAACAGG
rnacentral:rRNA from 1 species